UUUGAAUUCCAAUGUUAGCAUAGAAUUUGUUAUUCAAAUAUUUCUUCUUCUCCGUCAGCUUUCUGCAUCUUUCUUCAACUGCUCGCUGUCUCUUUCACACACACACUUGGACUUACUAUCUAUCUGUUUGCUGAACUCUCUCCCUCCCGCAAACACAUACUCAGAGGCAUGUGAAGAUGAAAUUUGUAGUUGAUCUCGUUUGCGAAAUACUGCCGCCGACAAAUUAUUUCUCUGGUUUUCAAACUAUGGAUGGAAAUGAUAGGGCUCGAAAAGGUACCGUAGAAAUUAGCAUGAUUGGGAAUCAGAAUAUGACGGGUGAUAUGAUAAUUGACGUUUCUGAAGAUGCAAAACCUAACUUUUCCGGAGCAUCACCUCUUAGAGAACCCAAUGCUUCGGCACUUAGUGCUCAAAAGUCACCACCGAUGAGUUACGCCUCACCUGAAGCUGUGAGGAUUAGUGCUAGUAAGCCUCCCAAGAUCCCCACAGCUGAGGGUCUCACUAGCCGAAGAUCUUUAUCCAGGUCUGUUUAUUCUAAGCCAAAAGCUCGAUUUGGUGACCAAUCCGUGUCUCUUGAUGGUAAGAUGUUUGAUGAGAGUGGGCCGGAAGUGAAUGUGGUUCACAGUCGGGGGGGGGGGGGGGGUGCUUCGCCUAAUCAUGUGAAGGCGGAUGCUGGUAGUGCUAGCGUAAGGGAUAGGACCGUGCCAGUAACUCCCAAAACCCCACUUAUGAAUUCCUUUAGGGGACUCGAUGAGGAUGAGGAAAUAUAUAAGAGGGUUAGCAGCAGGAAGAAGCUAAAGUAUAGGAAAGUGAAAGCCAAGGUUUUGGUUGAGUGGUUGAUAUUUCUUUUUAUUCUUGGCUGUUUGAUUACAAGUUUGACUGUUCAUAGGUUUCGAAACAUGAUGCUCUGGAGAUUAUGUCUUUGGAAGUGGUUUGCGCUUGUUAUGGUAACCUUUAGUGGCAUGUUGUUUACUGAAUGGCUGAUGAAUUUUGUUGUUUUGUUGAUUGAGCUAAAUUAUUUGCUGAAAAAGGUAUUGUAUUUCGUUUUUGGCCUGAAGAAGAUUGUUCAAGUUUGCCUAUGGUUGGCUUUGGUGCUUAUCACUUGGGCUCUGCUGUUCCGGGAAGGGGUGGAUAAGUCAUCACAUGCUACUGCCAAGAUUCUGGAUCUUAUAACUUGGACUAUUGCUUCGUUGCUUAUUGGUUUGUUCUUGUGGCCAUUGAAGAAUUUGUUGCUAAAGAUCUUGGCGUCUUCGUUCCAUGUGAACACAUUCUUCAACAGGAUUCAGGAAUCAAUCUUUCACCAGUACAUACUAUUUUCACUUUCUGGCAAGCCAGUCAUGGAGGCGGAACAAAUGUUGGGGAGAUCAAGCAGUAAUGUAAGUCAUUUUAGUUUCCGUGUCACGAAGAAAGAUAAGGAAGGCAGGGAAAAGAAGGAGAAAGAGGUGAUUGAUAUCAAUAAGCUGCAUCAGAUGAAGCAGGAAAAGGUCUCUGCCUGGACCAUGAAGAUGUUAGUUGAUGUUAUAUCUAAUUCAGGGCUCGCCACAAUUUCUAAUACUCUAGAUGAAAGUGUCUAUAAUGAGGGCAAUGAACAAACCGACAAGGAAAUAACAAACGAGGAGGAGGCAAUUGCUGCUGCAUAUCACAUUUUCAGAAAUGUUGCUCAGCCUGGUUGCACGUACAUUGACGAAUAUGAUAUGAGGAGAUUUAUGAUUAAGGAAGAGGUUGACAUUGUAUUUCCGAUGAUUGAUGUGGGUGAGACUGGGAAGAUUGACAGAAAAGCUUUGACCGAAUGGGUGGUGAAGGUUUACGAAGAUCGCAGAGCACUUGCCCAUGCUCUUACAGACACAAAAACUGCUGUAAAGCAACUGAACAAGCUUAUUACAGCGCUUUUAAUGAUCAUCAUUGUGAUUAUAUGGCUUCUCUUGACGGGGAUAGCGACCACCAAAGUGCUAGUUGUUAUGUCAUCUCAGCUUGUUGUGGCUGUUUUUAUGUUCGGAAAUACUUGCAAGACUAUAUUUGAAGCUAUUAUCUUCGUAUUUGUGAUGCAUCCCUUCGAUGUGGGUGAUCGCUGUGUUAUUGAUGGUGUUCAGAUGAUCGUGGAAGAGAUUAAUAUCUUUACAGCUGUCUUUCUGAAGGCCGAUAAUGAGAAAGUGUAUUACCCAAAUUCUGUUCUGUCUAUGAAACCCAUAAGCAAUUUCUACAGAAGUCCAGAUAUGGGAGAUUCGCUUGAGUUCAGCAUUGAUUUCAAGACAUCAAUGGAGAAAAUAGGCUCUUUGAGAGAAAAAAUCAAGAAAUACUUGGAGAAAAACCCUCAGCUAUGGCAUGAAAAUCACAACCUCGUCGUUAAGGAGAUUGAAAAUGUGAACAAGAUAAAGAUGGCCCUCUUUUUCAACCGCACCAUGAACUUCCAAAACUUUCCAGAGAAGAGCAGGCGCAGAACCGAGCUUGUUCUUGAAAUGAAAAGGAUUUUUGAAGAGCUGCAUAUCAGAUAUGAUCUCCUUCCUCAAGAUGUCCAUCUCAAUGAUUCUAGAACACCAACGGAAACCAGCAAAUGAGCUCCUCCUCGAACUCAAGAAACCAAUAGGUGUCCUCUCUAAAUUAUGAUGAUGUGAUUGCUGCAAGAUUGAAGGUCAUACAGCAAGGUUGAAUUGGAGGAGAGCAAGAAGCACCAAUUUUGCCAUAUAUGUCGGGUUGUAAACCCUUGAGUUGGGCAUGCAGGGCCGAAUACUUAAUAGUAUUUUUUAAAUCAGUUUGGUGAAACAUGUCUGGGUGGGAAUCGAGCGAUGAGCCGAGUUUGUUGGAAGAAGUUCUGAUGUGCCUCCCCUUCGACACGUACCGCAAUCCGGAGCUGGAAUCGGGCAACAAGGUGGUGCUUCCACCAUCGUGUCUGUCCCGGCUGAAAGACAUGGGCGUCCGGUUCCCUUGGUUGUUCAAGAUUGAGUCGUUCAAGUCGGAGAAAAGCUCCCACUGCGGUGUGCUGGAGUUCUGUGCGGACGAGGGGUUUGUGUACGUGCCGCGGUGGAUGAUGGACAACUUGGGGAUCGGAGAGGGGGAGGAUGUGAUCCUGCGGGACGCAUGGGCGAUGAUGGGGACGCGGAUGAAGCUGCAGCCUCACGAGGGCGCAUUCCUGGAGGUGGGGGAUGUGAGGGGGGCGCUGGAGGGGGCGCUGAGGGGGUUCUCGUGUUUGAGUAAGGGGGAUACGAUUGGGGUGAGGUGUGGGGAGAGGGAGUUUUUGGUGGAUGUGCUCGAUGUGGGCCCCGGCGGAGAUGUUAUCUCUCUUAUUGACACAGAUUGCGCCGCCGAGUUUGCUACGCCCUUGGACUACUACCUCAACAAGGAGGAGGAGGAGGAGGAGGAGGAGAAGGAGAGGGAAGGAGGGGUGUUUAGGGCGUUCUCGGGAGUGGCGAGGCGACUGGAUGGGGGGAGGUGCGCGGUGGCGGUGAAGAAGAAGAAGAAGGAGGACAAAGAUGAUGAUCAGGAGUUUAAACCAUUUAGUGGAAGAGGUCGUCUCCUUGGGGGACCUUUCUAAUUUCAUACUCCUACUCCAUUUACCUACCUACACUUUCUACUUUUUUUACUACUCUAUGGUGUUGUUAUCUAAGUAUAUGCUUGUUGGAGUAAUCAAAAUUUGCUUCUUGUUUCCAAAA